rnacentral:rRNA from 1 species
AUUGAACGCUGGCGGCGUGCCUUACACAUGCAAGUCGAACGGCAGCACGGGAGCAAUCCUGGUGGCGAGUGGCGAACGGGUGAGUAAUAUAUCGGAACGUGCCCAGUCGUGGGGGAUAACGUAGCGAAAGCUACGCUAAUACCGCAUACGAUCUAUGGAUGAAAGCGGGGGAUCGCAAGACCUCGCGCGAUUGGAGCGGCCGAUAUCAGAUUAGGUAGUUGGUGAGGCAAAGGCUCACCAAGCCGACGAUCUGUAGCUGGACUGAGAGGACGACCAGCCACACUGGGACUGAGACACGGCCCAGACUCCGACGGGAGGCAGCAGUGGGGAAUUUUGGACAAUGGGCGCAAGCCUGAUCCAGCAAUGCCGCGUGCAGGAUGAAGGCCUUCAGGUUGUAAACUGCUUUUGUACGGAACGAAACGGCGAGCUCUAAUACAGUUUGCUAAUGACGGUACCGUAAGAAUAAGCACCGGCUAACUACGUGCCAGCCGCCGCGGUAA